rnacentral:tRNA from 1 species
GCUCCCGUAGCUCAGUUGGUUAGAGCGUCGUACUAAUAUCCGGAGAGAUCCCAUAACUAGUAAUGCGAAGGCCAUAGGUUCGAGCCCUAUCGGGAGCA